CGCGAAAACCGGGCCGAAAGUCGAACGCGUUACGCACGAGUAGGUAUGGUUUUUUUAAUAAAUUUGUUUUUUUUUUUAUCCCCUAUAAACACGGACCGACGGCGUUGUUUUCCCCGCCGUCGGGUAUUUCGGACGGAGACGGACAGCGCGCACAGUCGUAUAAACAAUAUAACAACGAUUUAGGCAACGGAUUUAUACAUAUACACACGUGAAAAUGCGCGCGGUUGUUCGUUUGAAGUACGGGUCGGUUUAGCCCAACGGUUACAAGCACAAAUAAAACUAACGAAACACAUUAAGACCGCACGAUAUAACCGAUUGAGAUGUAGGGAAAGGGAGGAUAGUUCGGCAUUGGCUUUCCUCGUCGUUCUCGUUAGGGGCUCAUUAGCAGCGCACAGUCGGUGUCGUGAAUACCGGGACACAGAAAUGGCAGCGACAACGCGAAGAAAAAUAGGGCACUUUUAAAGUCGAUGCAAAUAGUACGCGGAAUCUAUCUAAAACCCGAGACUAGCCUGCUUAUAGAAAACUUAAUGUUGCUCAAACUCUUCUGUCGGCUACCGAGGACAAUUGUUGGGAAUCGUAUUUAAAAUGAGCUAUUCCAAUAUCCCCCCUUCUCCCCCUGAUUGUUCUUAUUCAAAUAACGUCAAUCGUAUUUUACAUAAUAUUUUGCAUAUUUCGAUGGUUUUUACCUUGUUUCGCGCAUAGUUUAUUGUGGCAUUUUACAUUUUUGUGUUUUUAUUUUUGACAAAUCACUUUUGAAAGCGACCGUCCCGUUACGAAGUUCAGUAAAUACGAAUUCAACGACAAACGAGCCCUGUUUUUUUUUUUAUCGCCACUUUUUUUCUAACGCGUGUUAAUAUUUUUUUCGUUUGAGAAUUUUCAUAAGCAUAGUUUGACGAAUUUUUCGCCCAUAUAAAUCCGUUCUUUCAAUUAAUAAUAUAAUACACACUAUUCGCGGUAAGAUUGAACCGAUCGGCCGACGACGAAAACGCGUACCGUUCGCGCAUGUCCGUCGCCAGAUUACCCCCGCCGUCCGCACUCGAACCUUGUGAACGAGUGACGACGACCAAUCGCGGAACGCGUGGCGCCGUCCAAAGAUCGCCCGGACAGGAUGCUCGGCGGCAUUCUCGGUCUGCAUGUGCGCGGACACGAGCGGUUCAAUCCCUAGAUUAGAAUAUUUUAUACAUAGAGACGGGACGCUUAUUGUACGCGGUACACUGUGGGCGAACGGUCUACUGGUCACCAUAACGGUUGUAUGCGGUUAUCCGCGGUUUUAACAGUCCGAUUUGUGCCAAUUGUAUCGCCUUUUACAAUCGUAAUUACCUAUUCAUCUGCCUCUGAAUAAUAUCAUUUUCCGAAUUUGUUAUUUCGGUAACCGGGCCGGGCGGGGCGAAUUGCGUUUUCGCUAUCACUUACGGUUGUUACCGCACCUCAAUUAAAUGUAAAACCAGUGGUGCUCUUCGAUCACACUUAAAAUACA